rnacentral:rRNA from 1 species
AGUGAACGCUGGCGGUAGGCCUAACACAUGCAAGUCGAACGGCAGCACAGUAAGAGCUUGCUCUUACGGGUGGCGAGUGGCGGACGGGUGAGGAAUACAUCGGAAUCUACUUUUUCGUGGGGGAUAACGUAGGGAAACUUACGCUAAUACCGCAUACGACCUACGGGUGAAAGCAGGGGAUCUUCGGACCUUGCGCGAUUGAAUGAGCCGAUGUCGGAUUAGCUAGUUGGCGGGGUAAAGGCCCACCAAGGCGACGAUCCGUAGCUGGCCUGAGAGGAUGAUCAGCCAAACUGGAACUGAGACACGGUCCAGACUCCUACGGGAGGCAGCAGUGGGGAAUAUUGGACAAUGGGCGCAAGCCUGAUCCAGCCAUACCGCGUGGGUGAAGAAGGCCUUCGGGUUGUAAAGCCCUUUUGUUGGGAAAGAAAAGCAGCAGGUUAAUACCCCGCUGUUCUGACGGUACCCAAAGAAUAAGCACCGGCUAACUUCGU